rnacentral:rRNA from 1 species
AUUGAACGCUGGCGGCAGGCCUAACACAUGCAAGUCGAGCGGAUGAGUGGAGCUUGCUCCAUGAUUCAGCGGCGGACGGGUGAGUAAUGCCUAGGAAUCUGCCCUGGUAGUGGGGGGACAACGUUUCGAAAGGAACGCUAAUACCGCAUACGUCCUACGGGAGAAAGCAGGGGACCUUCGGGCCUUGCGCUAUCAGAUGAGCCUAGGUCGGAUUAGCUAGUAGGUGAGGUAAUGGCUCACCUAGGCGACGAUCCGUAACUGGUCUGAGAGGAUGAUCAGUCACACUGGAACUGAGACACGGUCCAGACUCCUACGGAGGCAGCAGUGGGGAAUUUGGACAAUGGACGCAAGUCUGAUCCAGCCAUUCCGCGUGCAGGAU